GAUGUUAAAACCCGAGGUAUAAAUGCCGCCCAUAAUUAGGGUUUCUUCCCUGCUACUCUUCCAUUUCUCUCUGCCGCUCCUUCAUCUGUGAGUGAAUCUGAUCGUCAUCUUCAUCAUAAAGGGUUUCGUUGAUUGUUGAAAUCGAUAAAGAUUCACUCUGUUAUUGGUUCGAUCUAAACAGGUGGAAGAAAAUGAUGAAAUCAAUGGUCGUUUCAAGAUGGGGUUGUUUUCAAGAUUUAAGGAAUAUGGAAAUGUCGAAUCUUCUCAUGGGAUACUCAGGGUAGAAAGGGUGUUUGCUAGAGUGCCACAGCAAGUACAAAUCCCGGGAACAAAAAGGAUGACAAAAAGGGUGACAAAAAGGAUGGGUCAGGCUGGUGCAAAACAAGUAGUUAAAAAGUGUUGUUGGAACUCAUUCCCAUACAGCCAUGUUAGAUAGAUUAGGAGUAGCGAGUUGCGGAGUAGGAGGAUUUGAAGCAGAGCCAACAAUGCGUGGACAGGGCUGAGCUUCCCCUUUUCGGUUGCAAGAAAAUAUUCUACGGAAAGGGUAUUAGGCUUAUUCGAUCUGACUAGCAGGUAACACAUUCUUGCUUUAUGCAUUUGUGGUUUAUAGUUUUCUUACAUUUUCGUCGUUGUUUCUAAUUGAUUUUGACUGCAAGCCUUUAAUUAUUAAUUGUCUGGGGUAGGAAAUGGAUUAAAAACUAACAGUUUCUAUUAGGAAAUAUGGUUCUGGGAGUUUUUUUUUUAUUUUAGAUAGCAGUUGUUUGAUUACAUUAUUGACUUUUAAUUCCUGAGGAAACAAGCAUAUAGGAGAGGUUGGCUGGAGCCGGAAUGCGAACAACAUCAACAAUCGAAUGAGGUUGUCUUUGAUUUUAUGAACAAAAGUUCAAAUGUUAUGAUUGUUGUCUGAUCAUAACCCGGUAUGAGUUUCUACCAUUGCUAAUCACGCUUCCUACUCUUGACAAGGUUCAAUCAAAUAUAUAAUGUGUUGAUUAUAGUUUGAUUACAAUGUCGUUUAUAAGUAGACCCCGUUAUACUCAUGACAAAGUUCAAUAAAAUAUAUAAUUUGUUGAUUAUAGUUUUGAUUACAUUGUUGUUUAUAAGUAGAUCCCAUUAAAAUGUUAACUAAAAUUUGUAGCAAUGAAAUUUAUCCUCAUCUGCAUGUGUAUUACCUGCAUCUGUAUGGUCCUGGUGAAAUAAGGCUCAAGUAUUCAGCUAAACAUGUAGAAGCAGAUGCAGCUUAUAACUCAAAAAAGAUGGAACUUAAGACCAAUAUCAAUAGAGUAAUCUUGAACAGACUAUUGGCCAAAGCUUUCAGAUGUAGGGGUCAAGACUCUCGGACUGAAAUAAUGCAGCAACUGCAUAGGUUAUUGGUUUCACCUUCUGUGAGGAUUUUCCAUGGUUAGUCUUUAGGAAUCCAGCAGCCACUACAACCACCAUUGUCACGGCCGCCUCUUCAGAUAGUUCACCAACCAGCAGCUCUGUUCUCAACCACACCGAGCAGGCUACAACCACUACCUGCUCUCCUGCAUUAGCUACUCUACUGAUGUCACUCUUCUGAUCAACCGAUUGAGGCUCCUCUGUAUUUUCGCAUUACGCAACCCACAGGGCACCACUAUUGUUCUAUGCCACGAACAAAGUCGUCUUAUGGAUUAAUUCACUACUUUGAUCGUAGAUCCGCUGCACUUGCUAUAUUAUCUCUAAAUGGGAGGCAUUUGUUUGGUCAACCUAUUAAAGUCAACUGGGCAAUUGCCAGUGGGCAGAGGGAGGACACAUCAGGUAGGUUUUAUUAGGGGUGUCAAUCGUGCCAGGUUGAUGGGUUGGCGGGUUGAAAUGUGCAACCCGAACCUGACCCUGACCCAUAUUAUUAUUCGUGUCAAAGAUUUUGACCCUAACCUGCACACGUAUAAAUUCUUAUCAACACGAACACGACCCGUUUAACCUGUAAUGAGUCAUACAUGUUGAUUUAUAAGCGGGUCAUCGAUAACAUUUCAAAUGGUGAAUGUGAGUGUUAUAAGUAAAUAAUAGUGUGCCAAAACUAACGUUAUUAUGACUAACCAUAUAAAAUAGAAACGGAUAAAACAAAAACAAAAACAUAAAAGUUUUUUUUCUUUUUAUUUUCUAAAUAGUUAAACGGGUUAACAGGUCAACCCGUUUUUAUACGACUCAACCCGAAACCGACCUGUUUUUAAUAGGGGUCAACCCGAACCCGAUGCGUCUUUUAAACGGGUCGUGUUAGUCAACCCAAACCUUUUUUUUUCGUGUUGGGUUCGGUUCGGGUUUCGGGUCAUGUCAAGAAUUGCCCUCCUUAGGUUUUAUGUGGUGCUUAUAGUUUGUUUGGUUACUUUGUGUAACUAUCAUGGCAUAUAUACUUUUGAUUAUGCCACACUUGGUUUAAAAAGGUGCGCCUCGGGCGCGCGCUAGGUGAUUAGAGAAACACCCUAGGGUCUGAAGGUGGCGCGUCAUGGACAAUUGGAUCAAAACUGGUACGAAGUGAGGGUGAUGAAGCAAAGAAAAUUUGCCCCGAGUUUCAAUUGGUACGUGAUAAAGCUGAGUUGAGCAUAAUGAAGUUGGACAUGAUAUGCAUUGGAGUGGCUCGAACCAUAUGACACCUUUGGUACUGGUACAAAUUUUGUAGCAUAGGGUACUACUUCAGUAGCAGAUAAGAUACAGGAGCAAAUAAGUUUCAAUUUCGAUUACUCAAUGUUCAUGUAUUGUUUUUAUGUAAUUAUACCAGCUAUUUCAAUAGCCACAUGUUCUUUAUUUUAAAAUCAAAGAUUAUAUCCUCAAACACUAAA